rnacentral:hammerhead_ribozyme from 1 species
GUAAUACUGAGGAGUCCCAAACUAGGACGAAACAGCUGUCCAGUAC